UUCUUUCUAUUUAUAGAGGACCUUCCCGUUAUAGAGUUUAACAAAAAACUUAUGCAGCAAAAUGUUCACUUUUGGAAAAAUUCAUUUUUGAAGUAACAAAAAGAAAAUAUCCAAUAACAUUUUCACUUUAGAGAAAACGUACUUUGGAGUUACCAAAACGUUAGGUAGCAACCAUUGUUUUCACUUUGAGGAUAAUUCUUUCGAAGGCAACUCAAGUUCGAUUCGUCGUCUAUGAUUUUCUACGAGCUCAUACAAGCAUCCAAGGUAUAUAUUUAUUAAGAACUCACGGGUCAGUGAUCGGAAGCCGUGAGUUCAAGUUGUAGUAAUUGUAUAUAAGUAGGUUUUGGGUUGUUUUCUUAUGGUAUGGAGAUUGGCGGGGUUUGGUAGCUCGUGUAGAGCUUGGUUGUUGUUAAAAGGAGGUCGGGUGUGGAGUACACCAUUGCACAUAGUAUCGGGAGCUCGUCGCUCUUUGAUUGCUUGAUAAUAGUGUUAGAAUAGAUGUGGUAUUUUGAUGAUGUUGAUAUUAUUGUUGAUGUUUUGGGAUUGAAUUGGAGUUUGGAUGGAGUAAGAUAUGUAGGGGAAAUGCUGCCCGAUUUCUGAUAGAUGUCUUGUUAGCUUAAGAUGAGAUUGUAAAGGUGUGACAAGUAUAAUUGGGACGAAUCUAUGUAUAUAUGUGUUGAUCAUGGACUCGCAGGUUCGGGAAGCCGACAUUGAGUGUUAAAGUCGAUAAGGGAAAUGAAAAGGGCUAUGGCGUUAUGUACGCACACCACCUGAUCAGCCACGAUGAUUAUGAUACCCGAAGGGGUUGCCCGACGGGGCCGAUAUGCUAUUAUGCCCGAAGGGGCCACGAGCAGGGUAAAGGUUGCAUUUUAUAUAUAUAUAUAUAUAUUUGUGUGUGUGUGUAUGUGUGUUUUGAAAGUUAUUUGCAUAUUCAUGAUUCUCAGUGACGGUCACAGGUACAGAUAGAGUUUGUUACUCUUCUUACUAUUUAAAUUGUGAUGUAUACUGUUUUAUUUCCAUCUUACAUACUCGGUACAUUAUUUCGUACUGAUAUCCUUUUGCCUGGAGACGUUGCGUUCAUGCCCGCAGUCCCAGAUUGUUUGACAGGAAAGUUAUACAGAUGAGGACUGUAGAGUAUCAGCUUGGAUUGGUGAGCUGUACUUCAUUCGGGAGCAUUACCGAGUCAGUUUUGUUUAUGUAUAGCAGAUUACGGGUAUGUUGGGGCCUUGGUCCGACUUAUGUGUUCAGUUAUGUAUUCUUAGAGACUUUGCAGACAGCGUCCUGUGUAUAGUACAUCGAGAUGUCUAUAGUGGUUCAAAGCGGCCAUGUAGGCUGAUGUGAUUACAUGCAUUACUUAAAUGAGUUUUUAUUUAAGGUUUCCCUUGUUUAUAAAAGUUUUAUUAAAAGGCUUUCUUGAUUUAGUAUGA